UAGGCUAUGCUUAAGAUAUUAAAAAUCUACCCUCCCUCCCACCACCCGCCAAAAAGUUUUUGGCGGGCUAAUUAGAAUAUUAACAUCGUCUGCUGCUUUCGUUAACAGUUUUCAGUUUCGAAAAACCAGCAAAGAGAGACGAAGCAUGGACGAAGUUCCAGAUUUUAUAUUAUAGAAAACUGAACGGAUCACUGGUUUUGGAAAAAAACUUGUACGUGGCUGCAAUAGAAAUACUUAGAUUUCAGGUCUGAGCCAGCCAUCGUAACCACAAGAUGUGCAAGUUUUGAUACUGACCAGUCAUCACCAACAAUCUCAGCAUCAUCAAUCGAAUAAACAACUCCUAGUUUAAUUGGGAAAACUAUGUCCUCGUGUACACCCGUGUGAGUGUGGGGGUAUUCACGAAGGCCCCUUUUCCUAUCCUGCUGCCUGGCGUCAACGUCAACUUUACUGAGGAUUGGUACAUGUGGAUGCCUGGCUGUGGAUGCCUGGCUGUGGAUGCCUGGCUGUGGAUGCCUGGCUGUGGAUGCCUGGCUGUGGAUGCC